rnacentral:rRNA from 1 species
AGAAUCAACGCUGGCGGCGUGCCUCAGACAUGCAAGUCGUACGAUUAAAGCUUUCUUCGGAGAGUGCAUAAAGUGGCGUACGGGUGAGUAACACGUAAGUAAUCUACCUUUGAGUGGGGAAUAACAGUCGGAAACGACUGCUAAUACCGCAUAAUGCAGCGGCUCGACAUCGAGACAGUUGUUAAAGAAUUUAUUCGCUUAAAGAGGAGCUUGCGGCAGAUUAGCUAGUUGGUAAGGUAAUGGCUUACCAAGGCAACGAUCUGUAGCCGACCUGAGAGGGUGGUCGGUCACACUGACACUGAAUAACGGGUCAGACUCCUACGGGAGGCAGCAGUCGGGAAUUUUGGGCAAUGGGCGAAAGCCUGACCCAGCAACGCCGCGUGAAGGAUGAAGUAUUCGGUAUGUAAACUUCGUAAGAAUGGGAAGAAUAAAUGACGGUACCAUUUGUAAGGUCCGGCUAACUACGUGCCAGCAGCCGC